rnacentral:rRNA from 1 species
UACGUAGGAGGCAAGCGUUAUCCGGAAUUACUGGGCGUAAAGGGCGUCUAGGUGGCAGCCCAAGUGGGUUGUGAAAGCUCCUGGCUUAACUGGGAGAGUGCGCUCCGAACUGGGCAGCUAGAGGGCAGGCGACGGAGGUGGAAUACCCGGUGGAGUGGUGAAAUGCGUAGAGAUCGGGUGGAACACCAGUGGCGAAGGCGGCCUUCGAGCCUGUGCCUGACACUGAAGCGCGAGAGCGUGGGGAGCAAACGGG